rnacentral:rRNA from 1 species
GAUGAACGCUGGCGGCGUGCCUAAUACAUGCAAGUCGAGCGAACGGACGAGAAGCUUGCUUCUCUGAUGUUAGCGGCGGACGGGUGAGUAACACGUGGAUAACCUACCUAUAAGACUGGGAUCACUUCGGGAAACCGGCGCUAAUACCGGAUAAUAUUUUGAACCGCAUGGUUCAAAAGUGAAAGACGGUCUUGCUGUCACUUAUAGAUGGAUCCGCGCUGCAUUAGCUAGUUGGUAAGGUAACGGCUUACCAAGGCAACGAUGCGUAGCCGACCUGAGAGGGUGAUCGGCCACACUGGAACUGAGACACGGUCCAGACUCCUACGGGAGGCAGCAGUAGGGAAUCUGCCGCAAUGGGCGAAAGCAUGACGGAGCAACGCCGCGUGAGUGAUGAAGGUCUUCGGAUCGUAAAACUCUGUUAUGAGGGAAGAACAGAUGUGUAAGUAACUGUGCACAUCUUGACGGUACCUAAUCAGAAAGCCACGGCUAACUACGUG